rnacentral:rRNA from 1 species
AGGCAGCAGUGGGGAAUUUUGGACAAUGGGCGCAAGCCUGAUCCAGCCAUGCCGCGUGCGGGAAGAAGGCCUUCGGGUUGUAAACCGCUUUUGUCAGGGAAGAAAAGCUCCGGGCUAAUACCUNGGAGUCAUGACGGUACCUGAAGAAUAAGCACCGGCUAACUACGUGCCAGCAGCCGCGGUAAUACGUAGGGUGCAAGCGUUAAUCGGAAUUACUGGGCGUAAAGCGUGCGCAGGCGGCUUUGCAAGACAGAUGUGAAAUCCCCGGGCUUAACCUGGGAACUGCAUUUGUGACUGCAUGGCUGGAGUGCGGCAGAGGGGGAUGGAAUUCCGCGUGUAGCAGUGAAAUGCGUAGAUAUGCGGAGGAACACCGAUGGCGAAGGCAAUCCCCUGGGCCUGCACUGACGCUCAUGCACGAAAGCGUGGGGAGCAAACAGGAUUAGAUACCCUGGUAG